rnacentral:lncRNA from 1 species
UUUUUUUUUUUUUUUUUUUUUUUUAAUUUAUUUAUUCAUGAUAGUCACACGGAGAGAGAGAGAGAGGCAGAGACACAGGCAGAGGGAGAAGCAGGCCCCAAGCACCGGGAGCCCGACCUGGGAUUCGAUCCCGAGUCUCCAGGAUCACGCCCUGGGCCAAAGGCAGGCGCCAAACCGUUGCGCCACCCAGGGAUCCCUAUCCAUGCCCCUCUUAACCACAAAACUUCCUCGGAUACUUCACAGCCUCCACAGGUACUCACAGCACUAAAUCACAUUCUUGGUGUCACACUUACCUCAUCACACUUGGUAUUAUACUAAAUUAUAUCCCAUCUCCCCUAUUGGAUGAGCAGGUUCUUGAGAGCAGGAUUGACAGCUUAAUCAUCUUUCUUCCUGAAGACCUAACAAAAUCUCUUGACCAUAGUCACUGCUAUCAGUAACUAAGCAGGUCAGCACAUAAAAUACUUUUGACAGAUUAAGUAACAUUAAAACAGAGCCUUACAAAUACUGUUGACAAUUUUCUUAGCUCUCUCAAAUUAGUUUUUGAUUAUAGCAAGACAUUAAAGACAUUAUGACUGUAUUUACAUUUUACAAAGUAAGUUUCUAACUGAAAAAUAAUACAGUUAAUUUUCAAUUAACAUGGUAAAAAUAAUAACAGAUAGCACUUACAUAGCACUUACUACGUGACCUGUUCUUAGAAACGUAUAUGCAUUAACUCACUCUACCCUCCUAACAAUUCUCUGUGUUAGGCACCAUUUUUAUAUUUCCCAUUUUGGGAAACCAAAGCAAAGUAGAACUAGCUUACUUAUUCAGAGUCAUGGAGCUGGACAAAGCCAAGCCAGGAUUUGAACCCAGGCAGCUGUGGCCCUCACCUACGCUUAUAACCCUAAGCAUCACCUAAACAGCCAUCUGUAUAAAAAUCUAAUUUUACAUAAGCACUUUUUAACUCAUUCAGAACUUUUUACAGAAGCUUGUUAUUUAUAAGUAAUAUUUUUUUCUACAAUAUAAACAAGUAUAUCUGUAUUCACCACAUCAAAGUCCUGGCUAAAAUAUGCAUACAUAAUAGACUAGUGCCAAUAUCAUAGUGCCAGUUUUGCAAUAUUUUAAAUUACCUCAUCUUAAUUUCUAAAUGCUAAAAGAUGUUAGCAGUCUAACAUGGAAUCUGCUCGACUAACUAUCCUAGGAAAUUUCUAUUUCCAUAGAGAUUUUUCUGUACCCUGAAUCAAUUUUUAAAUUCAAGAAAACUAAGAAUUUUCAUGAAUAUGUAAUACAAAUCACUAUUGCUAAUGGUACUUAGCAUUAAGUAUCAGAGAGGACAACUACAAUAAUGUUAUAAUCUUGUAAAAUGACAAUUUAACAUAUGAUAUUAGGUUUUUAAAGGUAAUAUUUAGCCAUAAUUAAUUUAUCUCUGGAAAAUAAUCUCUAUUACAAAAUCUGCUUAAUUCUCAAAUGUUGUUACACUUAAAGUUUUUAGGUUAAUAAACCCAAAACCAGUGAUGGAGAAUAAUUCUACUAUUAUAGUGCAAAGCAAGCUUCUAAACAACAAAAUUCUUAAAACGUGGUAAGCCCACUGCUUGUAUGCCUGAUUUCUCAGUCAUUAAUUUUGGGGGGGGGGGGGGGGGGGAGGGUAGAGGGGGAGGGCGAAGGAGUGAGAGAAUUCCAAGCAGGCUCCGCACUGGAUGUGGAUCUCACAAUCCUGAGAUCAUGACCUGAGCCGAAAUCAAGAGUCGGACACUUAAAACAACUGCGCCGCCCAGGUGUCCUCUCAGCAGUUAGUUCUUAAGGAAAAACCGUUUCGGUCUUUGCCUCCCCAAAAGUAGAAACAUUCAAGAGUGUUCAAAAGUAAAAUCCUAUUGACUUUAACCAUAAGAGUAACCUGCCCAAAGCAGACAUUCUUUUUGUCCUUUUUAAGAAUGUAAAGCCUUGAACUCCAACGGGAUCAUCUCCCCGGUCUUCGUGCUUGCUGUUCUCUCUGGCAGGAAAGGAUCUGCACCCACAUCUUUUCACGACCUGCUCUUUCCUAUCCUUGAGGUUCAGUUCAAAUAUCUUCACCUAGCAAGGCCUUUUGCCCAGUCAGUUCACGCAGACAUGCCCAUUGUCAUAGAUUGACCCACAACCCCUCAAAAGGUAUGCUGAGUUCCUAAACCCCCCAAAAUCUCAGAAUAUGACCUUAUUCAUAGAUAAGAUCGUUGCAGUGUAGUUAAGAUGAGGUCAUGCUAGAAGAGGGUCAGCUCUUAAUCCAUCAUCACCGGUGUCCUUUUACAAAGAGGAGACACAAGAACACAGAGACACAGGGAAGAAGGCCAUGGGAAGAAGGUAAGCAAGACUGAGUUAUGCUACUGCAAGCCAAGGGAUGCUGGGGGGCUACAGAAGGUAGAAGAGGCAAGGGGGGACCCACCCUGACUUUGGACUUCUAGUCUCCAGGACCAAGACAACAAAUUUCUAUUGUUUAAGUCACCCAGUCCCUAGUACUCUGCUCUAACAGUGCUAGGGAACAUACACCCACCACUACCAACUGCGCUCAGCUCCAUCAAUCACUUUUAUUGUCCUUCCAAUUCUUAAUAGUAUCUAAAAUAGCAAUUAACUGUCUUUUACCUUUUAUUGACUUUUAUUGACUGUCUUCCUUUAUUAGAAUGUCAAUUUCAUGAGGACUUUUUGAGUCUGUGGCCUUUUCUGACGGCAAAGCAGAGCCUGGCACAUAAUAGGUGCUCAAGAAAUAGAUUUUGUGGGACGCCUGGGUGGCUCAGUGGUUGAGCCUCUGUCUGCCUUUGGCUCGGGGCGUGAUCUUGGGGUCCUGGGAUCGAAUCCCGCAUCGGGCUCCCUGCAUGGAGCCUGCUUCUCCCUCUGUGUCUCUGCCUCUCUCUCUGUCUCUCAUGGAUAAAUAAAUAAAAUCUUUAAAAAAAUGGAUUUUGUCAAAUAAAUUAAUGAUCCUGAGAAAGAUGACAGGAUUAAAGAAUGUCAGAAUGACCAUUCACUUCCAAUGCUCUGAACCAGUGUAAACUGGCCCUAAAAAAGGAGCUUCUGCUCUGCUGAGGACAAAAUCCACAAGGGGCAGCCAAAGAAAGCCUUAAAUACAUAAGGAGAAGGAGGCCCUGAGUUAUAGGGGAUAGUGACUGCUGUGGGGUUGCAGGAAUGAUGAGGUAACAGGGGGCUGAAGGAAGUGAUGGGAUAGGGAGACCUGGGUGUGCAAAGGGCAGGGGCCAGCUACUCUGUCCCAAAGGGUAACCGAAAGUGGUUUCCCUCUUCUUUGGACUUUAGCCUGUCUCCUUACAUCAGAUCGGAAUGAGCCCCAAAGUGGCAAAGGGAUGCUACUGAUUACAACAACCAGUUGUUACAACCAGUUGGUUACAACUACUCAACAGUCUUCAUCGGAAAAAGUGAUGGUCAAGAAUUUUUUUUAAUUGAAAUAUAACUGACAAAUAAUAUCUUAUUCAUGUCAGGUUCACAUCAUAGUGAUCUGAUAUUUUUAUACAUUAUGAAAUGAUCCCCACUCAUUAGUUAACAACCUCUCGCCAUACAAAGUUGUUACAAUAUUGGUAACCAUAUUCCCCAUGCUGUACAUUUCAUCCCCCUGACUUAAAUAUUUUAUAACUGAAAGUCUGUGCCUCUUAAAGAAAUUUUAAAAUGAUCUUGGUUUGAAUAGACAAUAUGUUCACAGGUUUAAAAAUUCAGACGGUAGUAAGGGGGUAUGCUAAAUAAGUGUCCUAAGUGUCCUUCCCAGUCCCAUCCCAACCAUCUGGUUUUCCUCCUCAGAGUCAAUCACUAUUACCAGUUUCUUGUGUCAUCUUCCAGGGAGAGUCUUUACACUAACAUGCAUAAACACAGAUUUAUAAACUCAUAUUGAACACCUAUGGCCACAGAUCACUCUGUACCUUGGUCUGUCCCGUAUUAUAUCUUAGAGAGCAUUUCGUAUCAGCAAAUAUGGAAUGAUCUCACUCUUUUUAACUUCAGUAAUUAAUAAAAGUUUGUUAUUUGUAGCUACCUAGUUUUAUUUCCACUCCUAAUUAUUUAACCAAUCCCAUACCGACCGACAGGUAUUAGCUUUCCCUAAGUCUUUUGCCGUGACAGACGAUGCUGCCAAUGGACAUCUUUGCGCAAGUUCCUUUUGUGAUGUACAGGUAGGUCUACAGAAAAAUUUCUUAGAUUUCCAGCGGUGAGGAGGUAGGUGAACUUUUAACUUUGCUAUCCGCAGAUGCUGUACCAUUUUGCAUCUCUAACGAUAACGCAUUAACCUGUCAAUUACCCCAAAGCCUUGCCACCAUAAGGGACUAACAAACAUCAAAAUCUUUUUUAACUUACUGGGUUAGUUUAAAAUUGCAUUUCUCUUAUGAGUUGAGCAUAACUUCAUAUUUGUCUGUGCCGUCUGUAAUUCCUUUUCCAUGAACUGCUUGUUCAUACCCUUGUCCCCUUUCCUAUGAGAUUAACAGUCAUUUUUCUUUUUGAUCUAUAGGAGCUCUUUGGAUAUAGUAAGGAGUUAAACCUUCUUUGUGACCCGUUAUAGUUUCUUUCCCAUGUGGUAAUGCUUCUCUUCUGCCCGUACAGAUAAUAUUUUUCCUUAGACAGAGUUUAAUUUAUCAACCUUUUAUCUCACUCAUUUUGUCUUCAAAAUAUUAAAAAGCCUUUUUCUUUUUUCUCUUUCUUUUUUUUUUUUUUUUAAGUGUAGAGACAGAUAGCUUCCCUAGUAUCUGAUCUCCAUCAGACGGGAUUGGAUGAGACUGGAAGGGACGCCUGGGUGGCUCAGGGGCUGAGCAUCUGCCUUCAGUUCAGGGUGUGAUCCCAGGGUCCUGGGAUCGAGUCCCACAUCAGGCUCCCUGCGAGGAGCCUGUUUCUCCCUCUGCCUGUGUCUCUGC